UCAUAGGAUAUGGAUGGGCUCGCGUGACAUUAGCUAGUUGGUGGGGUAACGGCCCACCAAGGCGACGAUGUCUAGGGGCUCUGAGAGGAGAAUCCCCCACACUGGUACUGAGACACGGACCAGACUCCUACGGGAGGCAGCAGUAAGGAAUAUUGGUCAAUGGGGGCAACCCUGAACCAGCCAUGCCGCGUGCAGGACGACUGCCCUAUGGGUUGUAAACUGCUUUUGUUAGGGAAUAAACCCCACUACGUGUAGUGGGCUGAAUGUACCUAAAGAAUAAGGAUCGGCUAACUCCGUGCCAGCAGCCGCGGUAAUACGGAGGAUCCGAGCGUUAUCCGGAUUUAUUGGGUUUAAAGGGUGCGUAGGCGGCACUUUAAGUCAGGGGUGAAAGACGGCAGCUCAACUGUCGCAGUGCCCUUGAUACUGAAGUGCUUGAAUGCGGUUGAAGACGGCGGAAUGAGACAAGUAGCGGUGAAAUGCAUAGAUAUGUCUCAGAACACCGAUUGCGAAGGCAGCUGUCUAAGCCGUUAUUGACGCUGAUGCACGAAAGCGUGGGGAUCGAACAGGAUUAGAUACCCUGGUAGUCCACGCCCUAAACGAUGAUGACUCGAUGUUUGCGAUAUACCGUAAGCGUCCAAGCGAAAGCGUUAAGUCAUCCAC
rnacentral:rRNA from 1 species